CCCUUAGAUGUUCUGGGCUGCACGCCCGCUACACUGAAGCUAUCAACACGUUUUCCCUCCCUGAGAAGGGCGGGUAACCUUUUGAAUCAGCUUCGUGGUAGGGAUCGGGGCUUGCAAUUGUUCCCCGUGAACCAGGAAUUCCUAGUAGACGCGAGUCAUAAGCUCGCAUCGAUUAAGUCCCUGCCCUUUGUACACACCGCCCGUCGCUACUACCGAUUGAACGUUUUAGUGAGGCAUUUGGACCGACGCAUCUCAGUUUAACCGCUGGUUUGUGUUGGAAAGACUUCCAAACUUGAGCGUUUAGAGGAAGUAAAAGUCGUAACA
rnacentral:rRNA from 1 species